UACGAAGGGGGCUAGCGUUGCUCGGAAUCACUGGGCGUAAAGCGCACGUAGGCGGCUUUCUAAGUCAGGGGUGAAAUCCUGGAGCUCAACUCCAGAACUGCCUUUGAUACUGGAGAGCUUGAGUCCGGAAGAGGUGAGUGGAACUCCGAGUGUAGAGGUGAAAUUCGUAGAUAUCAGGAAGAACACCGGUGGCGAAGGCGGGUCUCUGGGCCGAUACUGACGCUGAGGAGCGAAAGCGUGGGGAGCGAACAGG
rnacentral:rRNA from 1 species